UACGUAGGAUGCAAGCGUUGUCCGGAAUUAUUGGGCGUAAAGAGCGCGCAGGCGGUUUUACAAGUCAGAUGUGAAAUAUCUGGGCUUAACCCGGAGGGGUCAUUUGAAACUGUAAGACUAGAGUACAGCAGAGGAUAGCGGAAUUCCCGGUGUAGUGGUGAAAAUGCGUAGAUAUCGGGAGGAACACCGGUGGCGAAGGCGGCGAUCUGGGUCGAUACUG
rnacentral:rRNA from 1 species